GUUGUCGUUUGUUUAUGUAAUGUAUACGUGUUUCUCGUUUCUCGUUUUUUCGUUUUUUAUAUAGAUUAGACCGUUGGUUUUCCCGUUUGAAUGGUUUUACACUAGUUAUUUUUGGGGCCUUUAUAGCUUGUUGUUCUGUGUGAGCCAAGGCUCUAAGUUGAAUGCCGUACAUUGACAUAUAAUGGUUUACUUUUUUUAAUUGUUAUUUGGAUGGAGAGUUGUCUCAUUGGCACUCACACCACAUCUUCCUAUAUCUACUUUCAUAUAUAUCAUAUAAUCUUUAUUGUAAAAUUUACAAACGAAAUAACUUAAUCGGA
rnacentral:lncRNA from 1 species